rnacentral:rRNA from 1 species
AGUGAACGCUGGCGGUAGGCCUAACACAGGCAAGUCGAACGGCAGCACAGUAAGAGCUUGCUCUUACGGGUGGCGAGUGGCGGACGGGUGAGGAAUACAUCGGAAUCUACUUUUUCGUGGGGGAUAACGUAGGGAAACUUACGCUAAUACCGCAUACGACCUUCGGGUGAAAGCAGGGGAUCUUCGGACCUUGCGCGAUUGAAUGAGCCGAUGUCGGAUUAGCUAGUUGGCGGGGUAAAGGCCCACCAAGGCGACGAUCCGUAGCUGGUCUGAGAGGAUGAUCAGCCACACUGGAACUGAGACACGGUCCAGACUCCUACGGGAGGCAGCAGUGGGGAAUAUUGGACAAUGGGCGCAAGCCUGAUCCAGCCAUACCGCGUGGGUGAAGAAGGCCUUCGGGUUGUAAAGCCCUUUUGUUGGGAAAGAAAAGCAGCAGGUUAAUACCCCGCUGUUCUGACGGUACCCAAAGAAUAAGCACCGGCUAACUUCGUG